rnacentral:rRNA from 1 species
GGUUAAGCGACUAAGCGUACACGGUGGAUGCCCUGGCAGUCAGAGGCGAUGAAGGACGUGCUAAUCUGCGAUAAGCGUCGGUAAGGUGAUAUGAACCGUUAUAACCGGCGAUUUCCGAAUGGGGAAACCCAGUGUGAUUCGUCACACUAUCAUUAACUGAAUCCAUAGGUUAAUGAGGCGAACCGGGGGAACUGAAACAUCUAAGUACCCCGAGGAAAAGAAAUCAACCGAGAUUCCCCCAGUAGCGGCGAGCGAACGGGGAGCAGCCCAGAGCCUGAAUCAGUGUGUGUGUUAGUGGAAGCGUCUGGAAAGGCGCGCGAUACAGGGUGACAGCCCCGUACACAAAAAUGCACAUGCUGUGAGCUCGAUGAGUAGGGCGGGACACGUGGUAUCCUGUCUGAAUAUGGGGGGACCAUCCUCCAAGGCUAAAUACUCCUGACUGACCGAUAGUGAACCAGUACCGUGAGGGAAAGGCGAAAAGAACCCCGGCGAGGGGAGUGAAAAAGAACCUGAAACCGUGUACGUACAAGCAGUGGGAGCACGCUUAGGCGUGUGACUGCGUACCUUUUGUAUAAUGGGUCAGCGACUUAUAUUCUGUAGCAAGGUUAACCGAAUAGGGGAGCCGAAGGGAAACCGAGUCUUAACUGGGCGUUAAGUUGCAGGGUAUAGACCCGAAACCCGGUGAUCUAGCCAUGGGCAGGUUGAAGGUUGGGUAACACUAACUGGAGGACCGAACCGACUAAUGUUGAAAAAUUAGCGGAUGACUUGUGGCUGGGGGUGAAAGGCCAAUCAAACCGGGAGAUAGCUGGUUCUCCCCGAAAGCUAUUUAGGUAGCGCCUCGUGAAUUCAUCUCCGGGGGUAGAGCACUGUUUCGGCAAGGGGGUCAUCCCGACUUACCAACCCGAUGCAAACUGCGAAUACCGGAGAAUGUUAUCACGGGAGACACACGGCGGGUGCUAACGUCCGUCGUGAAGAGGGAAACAACCCAGACCGCCAGCUAAGGUCCCAAAGUCAUGGUUAAGUGGGAAACGAUGUGGGAAGGCCCAGACAGCCAGGAUGUUGGCUUAGAAGCAGCCAUCAUUUAAAGAAAGCGUAAUAGCUCACUGGUCGAGUCGGCCUGCGCGGAAGAUGUAACGGGGCUAAACCAUGCACCGAAGCUGCGGCAGCGACGCUUAUGCGUUGUUGGGUAGGGGAGCGUUCUGUAAGCCUGUGAAGGUGUACUGUGAGGUAUGCUGGAGGUAUCAGAAGUGCGAAUGCUGACAUAAGUAACGAUAAAGCGGGUGAAAAGCCCGCUCGCCGGAAGACCAAGGGUUCCUGUCCAACGUUAAUCGGGGCAGGGUGAGUCGACCCCUAAGGCGAGGCCGAAAGGCGUAGUCGAUGGGAAACAGGUUAAUAUUCCUGUACUUGGUGUUACUGCGAAGGGGGGACGGAGAAGGCUAUGUUGGCCGGGCGACGGUUGUCCCGGUUUAAGCGUGUAGGCUGGUUUUCCAGGCAAAUCCGGAAAAUCAAGGCUGAGGCGUGAUGACGAGGCACUACGGUGCUGAAGCAACAAAUGCCCUGCUUCCAGGAAAAGCCUCUAAGCAUCAGGUAACAUCAAAUCGUACCCCAAACCGACACAGGUGGUCAGGUAGAGAAUACCAAGGCGCUUGAGAGAACUCGGGUGAAGGAACUAGGCAAAAUGGUGCCGUAACUUCGGGAGAAGGCACGCUGAUAUGUAGGUGAAGUCCCUCGCGGAUGGAGCUGAAAUCAGUCGAAGAUACCAGCUGGCUGCAACUGUUUAUUAAAAACACAGCACUGUGCAAACACGAAAGUGGACGUAUACGGUGUGACGCCUGCCCGGUGCCGGAAGGUUAAUUGAUGGGGUUAGCGCAAGCGAAGCUCUUGAUCGAAGCCCCGGUAAACGGCGGCCGUAACUAUAACGGUCCUAAGGUAGCGAAAUUCCUUGUCGGGUAAGUUCCGACCUGCACGAAUGGCGUAAUGAUGGCCAGGCUGUCUCCACCCGAGACUCAGUGAAAUUGAACUCGCUGUGAAGAUGCAGUGUACCCGCGGCAAGACGGAAAGACCCCGUGAACCUUUACUAUAGCUUGACACUGAACAUUGAGCCUUGAUGUGUAGGAUAGGUGGGAGGCUUUGAAGUGUGGACGCCAGUCUGCAUGGAGCCGACCUUGAAAUACCACCCUUUAAUGUUUGAUGUUCUAACGUGGACCCGUAAUCCGGGUUGCGGACAGUGUCUGGUGGGUAGUUUGACUGGGGCGGUCUCCUCCUAAAGAGUAACGGAGGAGCACGAAGGUUGGCUAAUCCUGGUCGGACAUCAGGAGGUUAGUGCAAUGGCAUAAGCCAGCUUGACUGCGAGCGUGACGGCGCGAGCAGGUGCGAAAGCAGGUCAUAGUGAUCCGGUGGUUCUGAAUGGAAGGGCCAUCGCUCAACGGAUAAAAGGUACUCCGGGGAUAACAGGCUGAUACCGCCCAAGAGUUCAUAUCGACGGCGGUGUUUGGCACCUCGAUGUCGGCUCAUCACAUCCUGGGGCUGAAGUAGGUCCCAAGGGUAUGGCUGUUCGCCAUUUAAAGUGGUACGCGAGCUGGGUUUAGAACGUCGUGAGACAGUUCGGUCCCUAUCUGCCGUGGGCGCUGGAGAACUGAGGGGGGCUGCUCCUAGUACGAGAGGACCGGAGUGGACGCAUCACUGGUGUUCGGGUUGUCAUGCCAAUGGCACUGCCCGGUAGCUAAAUGCGGAAGAGAUAAGUGCUGAAAGCAUCUAAGCACGAAACUUGCCCCGAGAUGAGUUCUCCCUGACUCCUUGAGAGUCCUGAAGGAACGUUGAAGACGACGACGUUGAUAGGCCGGAUGUGUAAGCGCAGCGAUGCGUUGAGCUAACCGGUACUAAUGAACCGUGAGGCUUAACCUU